GGUGAAAGGAUUUGCUCCCAGUUCUGGGUGUUGGGGUGAGGAGAUUGGGUUUUUUGUUUGUUAUUUUUUCUUUUUCUUGUUGUUGUUCUGUUUGUUUUUAUUUCCUGCUUACUGUUUUUUUCCCAUCUCUGUAUAUUCGGAAUGACUGGCUCUGUAACAUUUACAAAAUGUUGCCACUGCAGGAGCUCCAAGGAGAAUGUGAAAGUGCUGCUCCUCUAAUGCCCUGGCUUCUAGCCCUGGUUCUGCUGUGAUAAUAGCGGGUGCCCAUUCCACAGGGUAGUAGCAGCUGUGAGGGGAAUAUCAACUGGAGAAAACUUGGCCUCAGGAGAUUUCAGUCUGGGCAUUACCUCUUUGUGCCACCUAGAGAGCUUUAUUCAUAGGUAAGGAAUGUGGCGGCCUGCCCUCUGAGGAAAUGCACCGCCCAAACAUUUUCAUGCAGAUCAUUCAAUAUAUUGCAUGGGAUUUGCUGAGUAUGGCUAAGAAAAACAUCUUUUUCCUGGAAGGCAUUACAAUUCUCACAUUUGAAACGUAAUCAUUUGAGAAUCUCAAGGGUCUCUGAUGAUGUGUUAAAAGACAGGUUACAGCAUCCAGGGCACGAGUAGUAGUAAAAAGCCUAACCUGGACUCUGAGAAAGGUUUUACAUGAGGACUUUGGUGCUGCAGAAACAGCACAAAGAGAGCUGUACUGGAUUCAAAACAGACUUGGGCAGCAAUGCCGCUUCUUCAAGGACAGACUUUAAUGAGUAUUCAUUGCAGGCUGCAGUAAGUACUGCUGAUGGUUCACAAAAGUGAAAGCUUGGUUUAAUUCUUAAAACUGAAAGAAACAAAACACUCCCCACCAGUCUUAUCAGCAACCUGCCUCCAUAUUCAUUUUCUCCUCUUUCUCCUGACAUAUGGAUGGGGUGGGCUGCUGGUCUGCUAAGGGGCUGUGAAUGGGAAACACAGCCCCAGGGCUACCAGGGGCUGGAGGGACGCCUGGAGGGAUUUUGGAAGAACUUAUCCUUUGUCUCUGGAUCUGAAGACUGGUGUCUCCCUGUCAUGUGGGAAGCCCGAAGGUGGGAGGUGGGCUGGUGCCUCCUGUGAUGCAAAGACACAGGCAAGGAAUUGCAGGGGAAGCAGCUCCGUGUCCGCCAAUAGUGAUGCAGCCUGACUGAGCUUUCCCUUUGGCUGAGGGGUCAGCACUGAGGCGUCAGUUAAAGAGCGACUGCCUUCCAGGGUGAGGUGACCCAGAGGAAAGGGGGGGGGGGGGGGCGGGGUGCAGUGGUGUCCCAGCGGAAAGUCAGCACUGGGGUGUCUGCCACACAGCAUGCACCAACCCCAGUGUCAACAGCACCAGGCAAGGCCACCCUCAUCUCUUCCUUUCUUUCCACCCAAACUCAUCGGAAGGAAGGUGGAGCAGGGCACAAAGACAGCCCAGCAGCCUGCUGCAGGUUCUGAGCCUUAUGUGGGCAAGGGGAGAAGCUUCGAAAUGGGUGGCUACAGUGCAAGGAGCCGUAGAAACCUAAGGAAAUUCAGACUGGUCAUCAGAGACCACAGGGGCCGACUUUCAGAGUCACUUGACUUUACUGCUCAGUAUCAAAAGAUGAUCACCAAGUAACAAGUUGUGCCUGUUUCCUCUUGGCGUCCAGCAGCCUCAGUUUCUCUUCCUCUCAUUGUAAACACACAGAAGAGGGAGACUUUCUCUGAGCAAUGG